rnacentral:rRNA from 1 species
UAAGGAAUAUUGCUCAAUGGGAGAAAUCCUGAAGCAGCAACGCCGCGUGGAGGAUGAAGGGUCUAUGACUUGUAAACUCCUGUAAAGAAGGAAAAAAUUCCCAUUUGAUGGGAGAUGAUGGUACUUCUGGAGUAAGCCCCGGCUAACUACGUGCCAGCAGCCGCGGUAAUACGUAGGGGGCAAGCGUUGUCCGGAUUUACUGGGUGUAAAGGGUGCUCAGGCGGAUUUGUAAGUCAGAGGUGAAAUCUUACAGCUUAACUGUGAAACUGCCUUUGAUACUGCAAGCCUAGAGUAUGGAAGAGAGUGAUGGGAUAUCUGGUGUAGCAGUGAAAUGCGUAGAUAUCAGAUAGAACACCAAUGGCGAAGGCAGUCACUUGGUCCAUUACUGACGCUAAAGCACGAAAGCGUGGGUAGCAAACA